rnacentral:lncRNA from 1 species
AAAGACAGGAUAUGCGCUGACUGAAUAGCCUGCACGGAAGGCAUUAGCACUACACUAAUGUCCCUAAAAUCUACACACCAAAAAUGUAGCAAAAAUCCUGACAAUUAGAAUAUAUUGUAAAACAGAAUGCCAAAGACAGUUCAGUAUAUAUUACCAAUGCAACUCUGUUAUCAACAAAAUGAGCUGACUAAUUUAACUGGGCAAAAAUGGAUUUGAUUGUGGUAACCAGUUAGAACACAAGGUAACAGUGUCUCACGUGCUUGAGGCCGGUGCGGGGCACGUUGGACCUAGCGAAGGAUCGGUACAAUUUAUGCGGCCAUAUCUAUCUACAAGGAAGAACGGCGAGAUAGUCAUCGAAGAAGCAUUAGAGCAACAAAAGUCCUCCUGAACCUUUGAUUCUGUGAAGGGCAGGUAAAAGUAAAAUUUUGUUCCAAAAUUAUUUGAUAACCAGUUAAGUUCGAAUGUGAAAUUUGAGAUUACAACAGUACAAAAAAUAACUAUGAAAUGAUGAGGAUCAUCUCCCUUCAGAAAUGUCAUCAAUUAAGAAUGCUAAAAAGAUCAUCGCAAAUACAGAUACAUAAGUGCAUGACACUUGGUCUAGCCUACCUGAAGGCCUUAUCUCUGCUGUAAAGAGAUGAUUGUAGGGGCACUUAUACAAAGAUAAUGUCUUCUCCUCAAAGUGCACGGCCAACACGGAAUCCGCUGCCUUCAGUCUGUCCUAAUUUUGCCAUGCACCCCAUGUCUGAUUAUCCACAAGAGCUCUGACAAACAACGAACCAGCUGGACCAUGAAACAGAAGGACAAUAAAUUUACGAGGAAGGUAAUUUUCUGUUAUUGGCAAAACAUUUGAUAUUGAUUAAACCAACACCAACCACUACUUUCUCGCGUAUCUAUUGCCAAAAUCGCAGCUUCUCUUAUAGAUCAUAAGUGUGGUGACUGAACCCCACUUACCGUAGUAUAAAAUCCGUUGCAGCCACCUACUCCACAUAUGUGUGUGUGUGUGUUGCUAUCUCUAAAUCGAAUAAACCUCCAAUGUAUGCAAUUCAUGAGCACAAAACAGAAAUUAUAGUUCAGUAACUCUAGAAAUUAAUCAAAUUGAGGGAUCCUAAUCAUAAUUUUUUACAUACAUAUGGAUCACACAGAUUAGGAAAUUUCUGAAGUUACAGAGGACUAAAAAAUGAAUCGGGAGGAGAGAAAUCAUGACUCACCUCACCCAACAACAAGGUGGAAACUGCAACCCAAGAAAAAGAUGCCCUUCCCUCUCUCGGUGAAGAGCAUGCAUGCCUUAAUGAGGUGCUGACGUCAAUCUCCUUCCUUCCUUGGAUGUGCUAUCUAAGUACAAAUUCCAGAAAAAAAAUACAAAUCAUCCAAAGGAGAUUACUUUCCAGUAGUCAGGGGCCGCAAAAUGCAGCCAUGACACACCUAUUAUACAUGUGCAUCCACCUUUAAGAGUGACUAAUCAGUAAUCACUAAAAGGGAGUAGGAAAUAAACAAAAUACUCAUAUUACUGUUAAGAGAUGAAUAAAACAUAUCAUUUUUAGGCUUUUGCAACCAGUGGCAAGAAACAAAUACAUGUGCAUCCUACUGCUGAUUCCUCACAAUAAUAACCUACUUGAUCAACACUGGUACAAAAAUAAAUAUUAUAUAAACGAACUAAUCUUGAAAAAUGGUAGUUGGAUUAAGAAGCAAUUAAUUUGAAGAGCCCAAGAAUAUUUGUGGAGAUGGAAAAAUGACUCCUCGUUGGCGUUCCAGCAAAUAGGCCGUGAGCAACUCAGUCUGCUACGUAAUAAAAUAAAUUAUGGAGCUAACCAACGUGCAAGAUUGAUUUCUACAAAACAGAUUCACUUAUAUGCAAUGGCAUAUGCGUGGUGGCAGGGUUAUCUCACCACGGAAAAGGAUUCUGAAUCCCAUCUGGCCGCAGAGUCCACACACCACAGCUCACUGCAACGGCUAUCUCAGCGCCUGCCUUGAAGACACGAAGCAGUGUCGCUUGGAGCGGCCGGCAUGGAGUUGACGAGCACGUGCUCGGAGGCUUGUUCCCCUCUCCGGGAUCAGUCUGGACAAGGAGUAGCGUGAACCUCAGAGGAAGAUCCCAUUGUUGGUCGGGCUCAGGGAGCUUUUCGAGGAGCGGAAGUAAUGGAGCAGCAGCUAUAAUGAUUGGUCCUCACCAUCCACCACCUCUUCAUCUGACUUUCCGGGUGGGGCGAGAUCGUGGUACGACGGUGGCCGAGGCUGAACGCCACGAAG